AGCAGGGCGCUCUCCUGCUGCCGUCCCUGCUGCUCCAGUGUUUGGAAGAGGCUUUGCACUGGCAACGCCGAGCUUCAAAGCAAAUCUUCAAUCUCCUAUUUGUACUCGCUGUUCCCAUAUUUAGAACAGAGCAGCACAUACUUGUCUAUUGCUUCAAGGCAAGAGCAAAUUCUGAAGGUAUUAAAUAGAGCCUUACUUCAAGCAAACAAGAAAGCCUGGAAAAAGUGAAGAACAAGGCUCGCUCACAUUCCGUACGUUUUAAAGAUUAUACUCAUCGAGAGGGGUAACAUUUCCAGUCAGAAGCCACGCUGCAACCUCUUCAACAAACGGAAGGGUUAUCAUUUUAGAAGCCACACAGAUCAGCUUGUGACACUUGAUGUAGAUGUCUUGUCUUUUUUUUAAAACCGUAUUUACAUAUGAAACAAGCUUGGACAGAUACAGACGCACAAUAGGCAUAGAAGGAGUAGGUAUAUAUAAAAAAUGGUUUUCUGUUUGCUUAUUCAUUUUCCCUCGGAUCUCUGUGUUUAGAGAGGUAGUAUUAAUUUCAUCCUUAGUAACCUGGAGUUCUGGCAAAGGUGACUUCGGGGAUUAUGAAUCGUGAGAGCUGUUGGUUCUCUCUUUGAUACAUCUUUAUUGAGAGCCUAUCUGGGAAAGAAGUCAGAUGAUUGUUUGGCACAUACUGAAGGCCUGAGAUGAGCUGAGCCAGAAAUGUCCUGAACACAGGUGUGAAGUCAGUUAUGGCUAUCCCAUAGCCAUCGCUGCUCUACCAGUUUGUCCCAGAUUGUCGAAACUCUUCAUGUUUCAAUGCCGCCAGCUGGUGGCAUGAUGGCUAAAGCGGCUGGAUCCC